UUCGAUUAAGCCAUGCGAGUCGAGAGUCUUAGGGACUCGGCGUACCGCUCAGUAACACGUGGGUAACCUGCCCUAUGCUGGGGAAUAACCUCGGGAAACUGAGAAUAAUGCCCCAUAGUCCACAAUGCCUGGAACGGUUUGUGGAUCAAAGCUCCGGCGGCAUAGGAUGGGCCUGCGGCGUAUCAGGUUGUAGGGGGUGUAACGUACCCUCUAGCCAUCAACGCGUACGGGUGUUGGGAGACAUAGCCCGGAGAUGGAUUCUGAGACACGAAUCCAGACCCUACGGGGUGCAGCAGGCGCGAAAACUUGGCAAUGCGAGAAAUCGUGACCAGGGAACUCCAAGUGGCUGGGGUAAGACCCAGUCUUUUCUUGACUCUUCAAAGGUCUUGGAAUAAGGGGUGGGUAAGGACGGUGCCAGCCGCCGCGGUAAUACCGGCGCCUCAAGUGGUAGUCGAUUUUAUUGGGCCUAAAACGUCCGUAGCCUGUUUGGUACAUUCGUGGGUAAAUCAACCAGCUCAACUGGUUGAAUUCUGCGAGCACGGCCAGACUUGGGACCGGGAGAGGUGUGGGGUACGCUCAGGGUAGGGGUAAAAUCCUGUCAUCCUGAGCGGACCACCUGUUGCGAAGGCGCCACACUAGAACGGAUCCGACGGUCAGGGACGAAGCCUAGGGGCACGAACCGGAUUAGAUACCCGGGUAGUCCUAGGUGUAAACGCUGUGGACUUGGUGUUGGGGACUCUCCGAGAAUCCUCAGUGCCGAAGCGAAGGUGAUAAGUCCACUGCCUGGGGAGUACGGUCGCAAGGCUGAAACUUAAAGGAAUUGGCGGGGGAGCACCGCAACCUGAGGAUUGUGCG
rnacentral:rRNA from 1 species